rnacentral:rRNA from 1 species
GAUCAAGUUACUGCGGCGCAUAGUGGAUACCUUGGCACUACAAGUCGAUGAAGGACGUGAUUGGCUGCGAUAUGCCCCGGGGAGUUGUCAAAAUAACUUUGAUCCGGGGAUCUCCGAAUGGGUAAACCUAGUCGGGUUAAUACCUGGCUGUCUCCGCCUCUGGCGGAGGUGACAACCCGCUGAACUGAAACAUCUAAGUAAGCGGUGGAAAAGAAAGUAACAACGAUUCCGGGAGUAGUGGCGAGCGAAACCGGAAGAGCCUAAACCCUGGUAGUUUCUACCGGGGGGUCGCGGGACCGCGAUAUGGGACCGGAUGAUCUAGUUGAACAGCCUGGAAAGGCUGGCCAAAGAAGGUGAUAGCCCUGUAAACGAAAGAUCUGAAAGCCCUAGCGGUAUCCCAAGUACAACGGGACACGUGGAAUCCUGUUGGAAUCCGGGAGGACCAUCUCCUAAGGCUAAAUACUCUGUAGUGACCGAUAGUGAACAAGUACCGUGAGGGAAAGGUGAAAAGAACCCAGGAAUGGGAGUGAAAUAGAACUUAAAACUGUGUGCCUACAAGCAGUCGGAGUCCGCCUACGGCGGAUGACGGCAUGCCUAUUGAAGAAUGAGCCGGCGACUUACAGUUACAAGCAAGCUUAGGGCGUUGAACCCGAGGCGCAGCGAAAGCGAGUCUGAAUAGGGCGUUUAGUUUGUAAUUGUAGACCCGAAACCGAUAGCGAUCUAUCCUUGGGCAGGGUGAACUUCGAGUAAAAUCGGAGGGAGGCCCGAACCUAUUGAUGUUGAAAAAUCUCAGGAUGACCUGAGGAUAGCAGUGAAAAGCUAAACGAGCUCGGAGAUAGCUGGUUCUCCCCGAAAUGGUUUUAGGGCCAGCCUCAAGAUUAUCUCUGCAGGGGUAGAGUACAGUUUGGACUAGGGUCCCGAGAGGGAUUCCAAAUCCUCGCUAACUCCGAAUACUGCAGUUUAACUUCUUGGGAGUGAGACUACGAGGGAUAAGCCUCGUGGUCAAAAGGGAAACAGCCCAUGACCGUCAGCUAAGGUUCCUAAAUGUAAGCUAAGUGGUUAAGGAAGUAAGAACGCUUAAACAGCCAGGAGGUUGGCUUAGAAGCAGCCAUCCUUUAAAGAGUGCGUAACAGCUCACUGGUCGAGCGUUUUUGCGCCGAAAACACACGGAGCUAAGCUUACUACCGAAGCUGCGGAUUGUCCCCCGAUUUAUCGGGGGAGAGUGGUAGGGGAGCGUUCCGUCGUAGGUUGAAGUCGUGUCGCGAGGCACGGUGGACGAUACGGAAGUGAGAAUGUCGGCAUAAGUAACGAAAAGACAUGUGGAAAUCAUGUUCGUCGAAAGUCUAAGGUUUCCUGGGCAAGGCUCGUCCUCCCAGGGUAAGUCGAUAUCUAAGUUGAGGCCAGAACACUGGCGUAAGCGAUGGCAAAACGGUUAAUAUUCCGUUACCGCCUGCUUUGUUAACCAGAGGGACGCAGAAGGAUAGCUCAUAGCACUUAUUGGAUUGUGAACUCCGGGUUUCCGGAGGUAUUGAGUGAGUCCACGCUGACGAGAAAAGCUCUGGGUAUUGUGGCAGGCGAUCGUACUACAAACCGACACAGGUGGACAGGCUGAAUAAGCCAAGACGCGCGAGAUAACUCUCUCUAAGGAACUAGGCAAAGUGGUCCCGUAACUUCGGGAAAAGGGACGCCUCAACGCAAGUUGGGGCCUCAGAAACCAGUCUUCCGCGACUGUUUAUCAAAAACACAGGUCUCUGCAAACCCGUAAGGGGAUGUAUAGGGGCUGAUGCCUGCCCAGUGCUGGAACGUUAAGGGGUGGCUUGAGAUUAUAUCAAGGGCCUAACCGAAGCGCCAGUGAACGGCGGCCGUAACUAUAACGGUCCUAAGGUAGCGAAAUUCCUUGUCGGGCAAGUUCCGACCCGCACGAAAGGCAUAACGAAGGAAGAACUGUCUCGGAGAGAGGCUCGGUGAAAUUGGGAUGACCGUGAAGACACGGUUUACCUGCAUCAGGACAGAAAGACCCCGUGGAGCUUUACUAUACCCUAUCUUUGGAUUUUGAUGCCGCUUGCGUAGCAUAGGUGGGAGACUUUGAUUCCCUGGUUUCGGCUGGGGAGGAGUCAACAGUGAAAUACCACCCUGGUAACAUUAGAAUUCUAACCCCGGCUGUGAAAGCUGGGAAACAGAGUUAGGCGGGUAGUUUGACUGGGGCGGUCGCCUCACAAAGAGUAACUGAGGCGUUCAAAGGUACCCUCAGCACGGUUAGAAAUCGUGCGUCGAGUGUAAAGGCAUAAGGGUGCUUGACUGCGAGACGUACAUGUCGAGCAGGGACGAAAGUCGGACUUAGUGAUCCGGUGGUGCUGGAUGGAAGGGCCAUCGCUCAACGGAUAAAAGUUACCCCGGGGAUAACAGGCUUAUCUCCUCCAAGAGUUCACAUCGACGAGGAGGUUUGGCACCUCGAUGUCGGCUCAUCGCAUCCUGGAGCUGGAGCAGGUUCCAAGGGUUGGGCUGUUCGCCCAUUAAAGCGGUACGUGAGCUGGGUUCAGAACGUCGUGAGACAGUUUGGUCCAUAUCCGGUGCAGGCGCAAGGGAAAUUGAGAGGAGUCCUUCCUAGUACGAGAGGACCGGAAGGAACAGACCUCUAGUGUACCAGUUGUGGGGCCAACCCGCAAACGCUGGGUAGCUAUGUCUGGUCGGGAUAAAUGCUGAAAGCAUCUAAGCAUCAAGCCCACCUCGAGAUUAGUUUCCCCAUCUGCCGUAAGGCAGAGUAAGACCCCUCGAAGAACACGAGGUUGAUAGGCUGGGGGUGUAAAGGCAGUAAUGCCAAAGCUGACCAGUACUAAUCGGUCGAGGACUUGAUCUU